rnacentral:rRNA from 1 species
AUGAAUCAUCGCUUUAAUGAAGCAUCUUCAAAUAUAAUAGUGGCCUUCUCAUGCCUUCAUCCAAAAAAUUCCUUCUCCAAGUUUGAUGUUGACAAGCUUGCUAGCUUAACUGAAGUUUAUCAUGGAUAUUUCUCUAGUGGUGAUCGUGCAAUCAUAAGAGACGAACUUCAGACUUACAUUCUUCAUGUACGAAGGCAUGAUGCCUUUUCUUCUUGUAAAGAUAUUGAAAGUUUAGCUACAACGAUGGUUUAAACUGAGAAACAUUUGGUUUUCCCACUGGUGUACAUAAUCAUAGAGUUGGCUUUAUUAUUGCCAGUCUCAACGACAUCGGUCGAAAGAGCUUUCUCGGCAAUGAAGAUUAUCAAAUCUAAAUUGCAUAGCAAGAUGAAUGAUAUGUGGUUUAAUGACUUGAUGAUUUGCUACACCGAGCGGGAGAUUUUUAAAGGACUUGAUGAUGGUGCUACUAUUAAACGGUUUCAAGUCAUGAAGUAUCGGAAAGGGCAACUGCCCAAGUCCAAUUAG